GUGCACUUGGCUCAGUGGUAGAGCAUCAGAUAGUGCGUGAGAUUCAUUAUUUGAAGGUGACAAGUUCAAAUCUUGCAGUGGAUA